AAACCAGCACCUCAAGUGGUCAGGAGGAUUAUUGGGCCUAAAGCAUCCGUAGCCUGUUCUAUAAGUUUCCGGUUAAAUCCAUUAGCUCAACUAAUGGGCCGCCGAAAAUACUGUGGAACUAGGGAGUGGGAGAGGUAGACGGUACUCGGUAGGAAGGGGUAAAAUCCUUUGAUCUAUUGAUGACCACCUGUGGCGAAGGCGGUCUACCAGAACACGUUCGACGGUGAGGGAUGAAAGCUGGGGGAGCAAACCGGAUUAGAUACCCGAGUAGUCC
rnacentral:rRNA from 1 species